rnacentral:tRNA from 1 species
ACUUAAAUAGCUUAUGAAGAGCAUAUCAUUGAAGAUGAUAGGGAGAUUUUAUUAUCUUUAAGUA